AGCCUCCUCUACAGCAGUAUCAAAGCCAAAUGACUUGUCGAUGAUUGGAAUAUCAUUGUCAAUUGUCUUGGGUAUCCCAGCAACAGCUACUUUGAGACCACGCCGCCUAAUUUCCUCAUAAAUGAUAGCUGCUCCUUUUAGAGUCCCAUCACCACCAAUUAUAUAGACCUGGUUUAUUCCAUGGUCCUGUAUGCUGUCAACUAUCUUUUUGGUAUCGUGGCCCCCUCGUGACGUUCCAA
rnacentral:misc_RNA from 1 species